CCAAGUUUAACGGCCGCGAAAGUGCUAAGGUAGCAUAAUAAUUUGCCCUUUUAUUGGGGGCUAGUAUGAAUGGAUUAACGAAGCUUAGCUGUCUCUAAUUAAUUUUAUUAAAAUUGAUUUAAGAGUGAAAAAUCUCAUAUUAAAGUGAAGGACGAAAAGACCCUGUAGAGUUUUAGUAAAAUCUUUUACAAAAGAUAUACUUUUAUUGGGGCAAUAAAAGAACAAUAAAAACUCUUUUGAAAAAUUUUACUAUAGUAAAAAAAAAAGAUCCUCAAAGAGAAAAAAAGAAAAACUACCUCAGGGAUAACAGCGUUAUUCUUCCAGAGAGAUCUGAUCGAAGGAAGAGUGUGCGACCUCGAUGUUGGACUAAGGUAACUAUUAAAUGCAGAAGUUUAAAAAAGUAAGCCUGUUCGGCUUUUAAUACCUUACAUGAUU
rnacentral:rRNA from 1 species